UUUUAACGAAUCAAAUGUUUUUUGAACUGUGACGAAGCAAAAUUAAGGAACCGCUUUCAAUGUUGAAUCAGCAAAGCGGGUACUAUUUUACUAUAAAUCAAAUUACGAGACCUGUGAAAUAUUGAUAUAGUCCUAUCUGUUGAUCUGUCAAACGCUCCAUGAUGUAUGUAGGUCCUCACGACAUAAAUUACUGAUAGUUGGUGCAGUAUACGAAGGAAGAUACUGGAUCUAAUGCGAGCGGUGAUUGGUUAACUUCGAAUUGCGAAUCAUCUUUGAAGUUGAUUAGUCCAGUCGUGAUGAUAACUAUGCUAAAUAGUUUUGUAUUAGGGAUAUAGGCCGACGUCAACGACGAUAUAUUAAUUUAUUUAUAACAAUAGAAGAUUUUCUUCAAGUAAAAAGCCUAUUUAAAACGAUUUAUUUCAAACAUUUUAUAUGGAUUUAUUAUUGGAGAAAUUUUAAAAGUUUGUAUUAAAGGAGUAUAAAAAGCUAAAUAUGGAGAUUUAUCGAGAGUUUUCAAAAUACUUUAUUGUAAACUUUAAAAUAAGUCUUUCAUUAUUCAAGCUAUGCUGUUGGAUAUCCUUUACCCAAACAAGUCUUUAACCCAUUCUCUGACUUCUUCCACGAAUAAGCCUAUAAACAAAUCCAAAAUUAUACUGCUCAAACAAAAUUCUCAGUCGUUUAAAGAUGUAACCGGGUGACUUGAAGUUGUCCUUGAAGAGUAUAUAAUUACGAAGAAAAUAAUAUAGAAAAGUUAUAGUAUGAUUCUUUAUUAAUCCAGGUAAGAUUGUAAAUUAUCAAAUAUAUUAUCAGGUAAUUUAGAUUAUAUAAGUUAUAUAAAUUGCUUAAAAAUCUAUAAAAUAAAAAGAAUUUUAAUAAUUUCCUUGUGUGUUUGUGUUAUAAUUUGUACCAGCGAACAGAUUCUAUUAUAUGGCGCCUGUAUACUAAGUUUACUCAACACGGAGCUUAUGGUAGGCUACUAUAGAUAAAUUGUUUAAUUGUAAAGUUUGAAGUUAAGAUGUAAGAUAUGGUAUGAUAAUCGUGUCAGAAGUCGCUAAUCCUUAUAUUUCAUUUCCAUAAAGAACAGAAAUUUGAUGCGGGUGACCCCGUGUUGCUUGACUAUACAAUUUUCAUCCAGAAUGUGAGAAAUCAGGGAACUUCAAAGGUUGACUUUCAGUCAAGGCAAUUGAACCAUGAUCGGAUUACCGUUUUGUAAAAGGAGGGAUUUAUGGUAAUGUCAAAAACAAGCGGGAGUUUUGUCCUUGUUUAAGCUCUCCAUUAUCUUCUUUAUGAUUAAAUUUAUUUCCUCCUAUACAUUUGUUAUAUGUUAACUGAAUAAGUUGUAAACUGAUUUAUGAUUUUAAUAUAUUGUCAGAUUGAAUAAUCAUAUUAAUAGUGUUGAAAAAAAAGAAAUAAAUUACAGUAUGGAUAUGUUAAAACGAAUAAGAGCGCGUAAAUUGUUAACAUCUUUAAAUACGUGGCUUUAACUGUUGUGGUUUUUUUUGGUUGGAGCAUACUUUAAUUAAAAUUAGACAUAUCAUUAAUGUCAUUAUAAACCAAUGAGUAAAUAUUGGUUAAAUGUUCAUAAUAAAUUCAAAUAGAUCCUAAUUAAACAACUUGUUAACGCUAAAAACAAACAAUUGGCAAUUAAAUUUUUUCGUUUUUUGAUAAUAUAAGAGAAGCACUUGAAAGUGACAUUAUAAUAGAAAAAGACAAUUAUAAAACAUAUUUAUAAUUAAAACAAUUCAAUGUAAAGUUUCAUACUAAUUUAAUUAAUUUUCACGAAACGAAUUUGUGAAAACUAAUUAAAAUAAUCUGCAACUUGGCGACAACUAAUUAUUUUUCUAGAAAGAGAAUGUAUUACUAAUUCCAAUUUUAGCCGGCUUUACAACUAAAAAGUUAAAAUUUAUUAAUAAAAAUAAUUACAAUUAAUCAGUUAUAUAUAAA